rnacentral:rRNA from 1 species
GACGAACGCUGGCGGCGUGCUUAACACAUGCAAGUCGAACGGAAAGGCCUGCUUUCCCUUGUGGAUUGCGGGUACUCGAGUGGCGAACGGGUGAGUAACACGUGAGUGAUCUGCCCCCACCUUGGGUAUAAGCCUGGGAAACUGGGUCUAAUUCCCGAUAGGACUGCAGGGUGGUGCCUGUGGUGGAAAACGAUUUUCUAGUGGUUGGGGAUGAGCUCGCGGCCUAUGAGCUUGUUGGUGGGGUAAUGGCCUACCAAGGCGGCGACGGGUAGCCGGCCGGAGAGGGUGAACGGUCACAUUGGGACUGGGUUACGGCCCAGACGCCUACGGGAGGCAGCAGUGGGGGAUAUUGCACAAUGGGCGGAAGCCUGAUGCAGCGACGCCGCGUGGGGGAUGACGGCCUUCGGGUUGUAAACUCCUUGCGACCGCGAGGAAGCCACCUGGUUGGAAGGGUGGUGACGGUAGUGGUAGAAGAAGCACCGGCUAACUACGUG